rnacentral:rRNA from 1 species
CAAANGCUCCACUUUGAAAGCGUUUCGGCGCGUUGNAGUGUGGUGCAGUCUUUGAACGGCGAAUAACUAAGUCCCUUGGAACAGGGUGCCAUAGAGGGUGAGAGCCCCGUGAGUUAUUUAUUAAGUUCUUUAAGUCUGUACUAAAGAGUCGAGUUGUUUGGGAAUGCAGCUCUAAGUGGGUGGUAAAUUCCAUCUAAGGCUAAAUACCGGCGAGAGACCGAUAGCGAACAAGUACAGUGAUGGAAAGAUGAAAAGCACUUUGAAAAGAGAGUGAAACAGUACGUGAAAUUGUUGAAAGGGAAGGGUAUUUGGCCCGACAUGGGUCCUGUGCACCGUUGCCUCUUGUGGGCGGCGCUCUGCUGGGGCCUGGGCCAGCAUCAUUUUUCUGGCGGGGAUAAGGUUGCGUGAACCACCUAGUGGGGAUCGUGGCGAUGCCCGCACGGGGGAAUGAGGACUGCCGCUGUAGGAUGCUGGCACAACGGCCAAAUACCGC